UACGUAGGGUGCAAGCGUUGUCCGGAAUUAUUGGGCGUAAAGAGCUCGUAGGCGGUCUGUCACGUCGGCUGUGAAAACCUGGGGCUCAACCCCGGGCCUGCAGCCGAUACGGGCAGACUAGAAUUCGGUAGGGGAGACUGGAAUUCCUGGUGUAGCGGUGAAAUGCGCAGAUAUCAGGAGGAACACCGGUGGCGAAGGCGGGUCUCUGGGCCAUUACUGACGCUGAGGAGCGAAAGCGUGGGGAGCGAACAGG
rnacentral:rRNA from 1 species